UAAGGAAUAUUGGACAAUGGUCGCAAGACUGAUCCAGCCAUGCCGCGUGCAGGAAGACGGCCCUAUGGGUUGUAAACUGCUUUUGUACCAGAGAAAACCUAUCUACGUGUAGAUAGCUGAUAGUAUGGUAAGAAUAAGCAUCGGCUAACUUCGUGCCAGCAGCCGCGGUAAGACGAAGGAUGCAAGCGUUAUCCGGAUUCAUUGGGUUUAAAGGGUGCGUAGGCGGGCUUGUAAGUCAGUGGUGAAAUCUCUCAGCUUAACUGAGAAACUGCCAUUGAUACUGCAGGCCUAGAGUAUAGAUGACGUUGGCGGAAUAUGACAUGUAGUGGUGAAAUACUUAGAUAUGUCAUAGAGCACCGAUUGCGAAGGCAGCUAACGAAACUAUAACUGACGCUGAGGCACGAAAGUGCGGGGAUCAAACA
rnacentral:rRNA from 1 species